GGCGUGGUGGUUUAUUGGUUAGCACACUUGCCUCUGACCGCUGGGGUUGGGGGUUUGAUUCCCACUUCCUCCA